UAUUGGACAAUGGGCGCAAGCCUGAUCCAGCAAUACCGCGUGUGUGAAGAAGGCCUUAGGGUUGUAAAGCACUUUCAAUUGGGAGGAAAACCUGCCGGUCAAUACCCGGUAGCUUGACAUUACCUUUAGAAGAAGCACCGGCUAACUCCGUGCCAGCAGCCGCGGUAAUACGGAGGGUGCGAGCGUUAAUCGGAAUUACUGGGCGUAAAGCGUGUGUAGGCGGUUCGUUAAGUCAGAUGUGAAAGCCCUGGGCUCAACCUGGGAACUGCAUUUGAAACUGGCGGACUAGAGUUUAGUAGAGGGGAGUGGAAUUUCAGGUGUAGCGGUGAAAUGCGUAGAUAUCUGAAGGAACACCAGUGGCGAAGGCGACUCCCUGGACUAGAACUGACGCUGAGUACGAAA
rnacentral:rRNA from 1 species